rnacentral:rRNA from 1 species
GAGUCAGACUGCGUGAGAUAAGUUUCGUAGUCAAAAGGGAAAGAGCCCAGACCUACAGCUAAGGUCCCUAAAUGAAUUUAAGUGGAAAAGGAUGUGCAGUUGCGUAGACAACUAGGACGUUGGCUUAGAAGCAGCCACUCAUUUAAAGAGUGCGUAAUAGCUCACUAGUCGAGUGAUUGUGCGCCGAAAAUGUAACGGGGCUAAAAUUCAUACCGAAGCUUAGGAAUGAUAGUAAUAUUGUUGGUAGAUGAGCGUUGUGUAAGUCUGCGAAGCUACACCGAAAGGAGUAGUGGAGAUAUCACAAGUGAGAAUGCCGGAAUGAGUAGCGAGAAUUAUGUGAGAAUCAUAAUGGUCGAAAAUCUAAGGUUUCUUGAGGAAGGUUCGUCCGCUCAAGGUAAGCCGGGAGCUAAGGCGAGGCCGAGAGGCGUAGUCGAUGCACAUACGGUAAAGAUUCCGUAGCCACCGAAGUCGUUAAAUACAGGGACACAGGAACAUAGCCUAACCCCACCGUUGGUUGAGUGGGGCGUAAGGGAGCGAAAAUUAGUAGCGAAGUAGGUGAUUGUACACUGGCGAGAAAAGCUGUAUGGAUUGACAAGGUGCCCGUACCGCAAACCGACACAGGUAGAUGAGGAGAGAAUCCUAAGACCAGCGGGAGAAGUGUUGUUAAGGAACUCGGCAAAAUGACCCCGUAACUUCGGGAUAAGGGGAGCCUACGCGAGUAGGCCGCAGAGAAUAGUCUCAAGCGACUGUUUAGCAAAAACACAGGUCUAUGCUAAAUCGAAAGAUGAUGUAUAUGGGCUGACGCCUGCCCGGUGCUGGAAGGUUAAGGGGAAGUGUUAGAGCAAUCGAAGCACUGAACUUAAGCCCCAGUAAACGGCGGCCGUAACUAUAACGGUCCUAAGGUAGCGAAAUUCCUUGUCAGGUAAGUUCUGACCCGCACGAAUGGCGUAACGACUUGAGAGCUGUCUCAACAACAUACCCGGCGAAAUUGAAGUACUGGUAAAGAUGCCAGUUACCCGUGAUAAGACGGAAAGACCCCAUGGAGCUUUACUGUAACUUGAUAUUGAAUUUUUGUAUUACAUGUACAGGAUAGGUGGGAGACAGAGAACUAAUGCCGCCAGGUGUUAGGGAGUCGAUGUUGGGAUACCACUCUUGUAAUAUGAAGGUUCUAACCUGCACCCGUGAAUCCGGGUGGGGGACACUGUCAGGUGGACAGUUUGACUGGGGCGGUCGCCUCCUAAAAGGUAACGGAGGCGUUCAAAGGUUGGUUCAGCACGGACGGAAAUCGUGCAACGAGUGCAAACGCAUAAACCAGCCUAACUGCGAGACCGACAAGUCGAGCAGUAACGAAAGUUGGAGUUAGUGAUCCGGCGGUAUGAGAGUGGAAUUGCCGUCGCUCAACGGAUAAAAGCUACCCUGGGGAUAACAGGCUGAUCUCCCCCAAGAGUCCACAUCGACGGGGAGGUUUGGCACCUCGAUGUCGGCUCAUCGCAUCCUGGAGCUGUAGUCGGUUCCAAGGGUUGGGCUGUUCGCCCAUUAAAGCGGUACGCGAGCUGGGUUCAGAACGUCGCGAGACAGUUCGGUCCCUAUCUAUCACGGGCGUAGGAAAUUUGAGGAGAGCUGACCUUAGUACGAGAGGACCGGGUUGGACGUACCGCUGGUGCACCUGUUGUUCUGCCAAGGGCAUAGCAGGGUAGCUAAGUACGGACGGGAUAAACGCUGAAGGCAUCUAAGCGUGAAGCCCCCUUCGAGAUAAGAUUUCCCAUAGCGUAGGCUAGUAAGGACCCAUGAAGACUACAUGGUUGAUAGGCCGGAGGUGGAAGUGCAGUAAUGUAUGUAGCUGACCGGUACUAAUAGUCCGAGGGCUUGACCAA